AAGAUCUGUGGAUGCUCAAGUCCCUGAUAUAAAAUGGCAUAGUAUUUGUAUAUCACCUAUGCACAUGCUGCCUAGAUUACUGAUACCUAAUACAAUGUAAAGUCUAUAUAAACAGUUGGUAUAAUGUAUUUUACAUUUUCUAUCUUUAUUGUUGUAUUGCUACUUUUUAUUGUUUAUUUCAAAAUAUUUUCCAUGUGUGACAGUUUGAAUCUGCAGAUGUGGAACAUACAACUAUGGAGGGCCAACUGUAAUAUACUUGUCUCAUAAAAGUCACCCUACGAAAAUAGCCUUUGUAAAUAAUAUUAUUAAAAUCAAUGCUGAUUCUUGUCUAAGAAUUCUUAAUCACUUUCCAUGUAUGACCUUUGAAAUGUGGCAAUUGUUUAAGAAUCUGCAAAAGUAUCACAGAUGGUCACACUCUAAUAAGCUACAGUGAGGGUAUACUUGCAAACAUUGGAACAUAGAAUUGAGAGAAUUGACUGUAGGGCCUAAAUAUUUGUUCUUCAUAAAGGAAUUUAUGAUUUUCUCCUAAAUCUCACUAUCAUGAGGUUGUAAAACCAGUCCAAUUGGAAUUACUCACUGGAUUUGUUUAUUGUUUUCUUUUAAUUAAUUAUUUUUUUAGAGACAACAUGUCGCUUUGUUACCCAGGCUGGAGUUCAGUGACAAAUCCUAAAUUACUGCAGCCUUGCACUCCCGGGCUGAAGCAAUCCUCCUGUCUCAGCCUCCCAAGAAGUUGGGACUAGCUACAAUGCCCAGCUAUUUUUUUUUUCUUCCUGUAGAGAAAGGGGCUGUCUAUGUUGCCCAGGCUAGUCUCAAACUCCUGGCCUAAAGCAAUCCUCCUCCCUAGUACAGUACAGAAUUGUUUUAAAAGUUCUAGUCAUGGAGUUCUAACUAUGAGAAUUUUGCAGAGGAAAUUAUGGACUAUAUCGUCAAAAUAAAGUUUUAGUAAAUAAUUAUAUAGCUACAUUUUAUUGGCCCUUUACUAUGUACCAGGUUUAUGCUAAAUGCUCAAUUUUAUUUAUAAUCUCAUUUAAUCAUCAUAACAAUGCUUUGAAAUGUAUACUAUUAUAUUUAUCUUAUGAAGGAGAAAAAUGAGUAUCAAAUAUUGAAGUUGACUUUGCUAAAAGUCACAGCUAGUGUGUACCUUAUCAGAAAUAUAACAAAUAUUUGUCCACUCCCAGAUUAGAUCUCAGGGCAAUGGUUAAGCACCAGGCUUUUAGUGGUUUGAUUUGAUUCAUAUCAGUUCUUCAGAUUCUUUGAAAGACUGUGAAAGACAUUGAAGGGUUCAUCUCUCGAAGAAACAAGUUAGAUAAGGUCAUGUAAUUGGUAGAUUAUGGAGUCUGGGACCUAGAAAAAUGCCAAGUGAGAAAAAUCUCUGCAUGGCAAUUGAACAGGCUGUGAGCAUAGUACCUGUUAGGUAGUUUUUCAGCCCUUGCUCUUCUCUCUGUCUCCCCACUUCAGUAGUCCCUAGCGUCUAUUAUUCCCAUCUUUAUGUCCAUGAGUACUCAAUGUUUAGCUCCCAUGGAUAAGUGAAAACUCCCAAUAUUUGGCUUUCUGUUCCUGCAUUAAUUUGCUUAGGGUAAUGGACUCUGACUGCAUCCAUGUAGCAGCAAAGGCCAUGAUCUCAUUUUGUAUAGCUGUGUAGUAUUCCAUGGCUAUAUGUACCACAUUGUCUUCAUCCAGUCCACCCUUGAUGGGCUUCUAAGUUAAUUCCAUGUCUUUGCUAUUGUGAAUAGUGCUGCAAUCAACAUAUGUGUGCAUGAGUCUUUAUGGUAGAACAAUUUACAUUCCUUUGGAUAUAUACCCAGUAACAGGAUUGCUGGCUGGAAUGAUAGUUCUAAGUUCUUUGAGAAAUCUACAAACUGCUUUCCACAGUGGCUGAGGUAAUCUACAUUUCUACCCAUAGUAUGUAAGCAUUUGGUUUCUUAAUAAAUAAAAACUAAGGCACUUCUUUCCUCCAACCAUGGAAGAGAAGGGCCCAUGUUCGUUUAUACAGGAGUGAGUUCACUACAUCUAUACUCAUAUCUCCAGUAACACGUUUGCAGGAAAGUUAUGAUUCUUUGUGUGUCAAAUCCUUUAAAGAAGAUUGUGGUGAAUAUUUUCAAGAUAAAAACGUAUGGAUGCUAAUUCUUUGAAUAAAGCAAAGGUAAAUGGUCUGAAUAUUGUGAGGAGAUGGUGAUUUUCCUAGAAAGAUUGGGUGGAACUAGAGAUUGGGGUUCAUAAGAAUGCUAGGGAACUUAGGUUUAACUCCAGCACAGCAUCCUAAGUGGUGAGGGAACCUCUGAAUAAGUGGUAUAACCAUAUAUGCAUAUGGAGUGGGAGGGAUAGUGCAUUCGUCUGUUCUCACACUGCUAAUAAAUACAUACCUGAGCCUGGGUAAUUUAUUAAAAAAAAAAAGAGGUUUAAUGGACACAUAGUUCCACUGGCUCAAGAGGCCUCACAAUCCUGGUGGAAGGCAAAGCAGAAGCAAAGGCAUGUCUUACAUGGUGGCAGGCAAGAGAGCAUGUACAGGGGAACUCCCCCUUAUAAAACCAUUAGAUCUCAUAGGACGUAUUCACUGUCAGGAGAAAAGCACAGGAAAAACCUGCCCCCAAGAUUCAAUUACCUGCUACCAGGUCCUUCCCAUGACAUGUGGGGAUUUGGGAGCUACAAUUACAGAUACAAUUUGGGUGGAAACACAGAGCCAAACCAUAUAAUUCCAGCCCUGGCCCCCUCCCAAAUCUCAUGGCCUCACAUUUCAAAACCAAUUAUGCCUUCCCAACAGUCCACCAAAGUCUUAACUCAAAACUCCACAGUCCAAAGUCUCAUCUGAGACAAGGCAAGUUCCUUUUACAGGCAUAUGAGCCUGUAAAAUCAAAAGCAAGUUAGUUACUGCCUAGAUACAAUGGGGGUACAGGCAAUGGGUAAAUACACCCAUUCCAAAUGGAAAAAAAUGGCCAAAAUGAAGGGGCUACUGGCUUCAUGCCAGCCCAAAAUCCAGCAGGGCAGUCAAAUCUUAAAGCUCCAAAAUAAUCUCCUUUGACUUCAUGUCUUACAUCCAGGUCACGCUGAUGCAAGAGCUGGGUUCCCAUGGUCUUGGGCAGCUCCACCCCUGUGGCUUUGCAGGGUACAGCCCCACUCCCAGCUGCUUUCAUGGGCUUGCAUUGAGUGUCUGCAGCUUUUCCAGGCACAUGGUGCAAGCUGCGGGUGGAUCUACCAUUCUAUGGUCUGAAGGAUGGUGGCCCUUUUCUCACAGCUCCACUAGGCAGUGCCCUAGUGGGAACUCUGUGUGAGGGCUCCCACCCCACAUUUCCACUCUGCACUACCCUAGCAGAGGUUCUCCAUGAGGGCUCUGCCCCUGCAUCACACCUCUGCCUGGACAUCCAGGCAUUUCCAUAUAUUCUAUGAUAUCUAGGCAGAGGCUCCCAAACAUCAAUACUUGAUUUCUGUGCACCCACAGGCUCAACACUACAUGAAAGCUGCCAAUACCUUGGGCUUGCAUCCUCAGAAGGCACAGCCCAAGCUGUACCUUGGCCCCUUUUAGCCAUGGCUUGAGCCUGGAGUGGUGGUGAUGCAGGGCAUCAAGU
rnacentral:lncRNA from 1 species